CAUUGAAACAGCGGUUCCCGUACGAUCGCCGAAGUUAAGCAACGUCGAACCUGGUCAGUACCUAUAUGGGCGACCGCUUAGGAAUAUCAGGUGUUAUAA